UCAGGUGUGAGGAGUGGAUUGUGAUUGGUGGAGGUUCAGGUGUGAAGAGUGGAUUGUGAUUGGUGGAGGUUCAGGUGUGAAGAGUGGAUUGUGAUUGGUGGAGGUUCAGGUGUGAGUUCAGAGUGUUGGUCGUUUGCGUUUGUCAGUUGAAUCUAAAUGAAUGUGCUGCUUAUAAACAUCUGUAACCAUAGUAACAUCCAGUUCCAGUUCCACCCAGAGUAAGACAGUGAUUGUACACGUGUCCUAAUGACCUCACUGAGCUCCAUGGAGGAGUUUAGCGUGUGGAGGAACUUCUGUUGUGGGAUUUUUAUAAACAGCUCGAAGCACAAGAUAAAAGCAAAAAGUUUAAAUAAAUAAAAAACUAAAAAUAGCAUCAGAAGUUCCAAUGGUAGAACUUCAACAGCUUCAUUAUUAGUCCAUCCAUCGGUCCAUCAGUCUCUCAUUCACUACACUACUUUAUCUGUGUGUGAGAUUCGGAGCAGCAGAAGUGUAGAUGGAUGAAAUAAAAAUGAUGGUUAUUUUGAUCCUUUCAGUCAGUUUUACUCUGCAAACAUCAACAACAGCUUGAACUCCUCAAUGCUGGAAGUGAUCAUGGUAUGAGGUGAUCAUCUACGACUGGGUGUGAGACCUUCCACCAUUCUAAUGCUCUCUGCUUCACCUCAGGACCUUCAUCACCUCCACAUCUACACUAACAUCCUGGAGCACCUCACACCUCCAUACACAUGUAUAUUCCCUGCUCCCCCUCAGUGUUGUUGUGUGGAUGGAAGAUAACGGUGAUAAAGGAGCAGCUGGAAGAAGAGGUGAAUAAUUAAAGGGGUGAGAUGAAGAGAUGAGGAUCUGAGGAUCAGAGUGACACUUCAAAGUGAAAACAAAGUACAGUGAGGACAUGAACUCCAGCCUGGAUAGAUGAAAAAUGCAGCUUCACUCUCCCUGGAGCUCAAAGGUCUACAUGCUGCAGGACAUCUUUAUGGAUUCUCUUCAUUCUGUGACCCUGUUUAUUAUUCACUUCAUCAUCAAUAUAUACAAUAAUCUCAUCCAUUUAUUAUACAAUAGACAGACAGACAGACAGACAGACAGACAGACAGACAGACAGACAGAUAGAUAGAUAGAUAGAUAGAUAGAUAGAUAGAUAGAUAGAUAGAUAGAUAGAUAGAUAGAUUACUAUAAUGAUAGUUAUAUAUAAACUCAACAAACUGAUUCACAAGGUCAGUGAUGAUGUUGGGAAGGAACUGGACUCUCUGAUGAUAGUGUCUGAAAUGAGGAUGUUGUCCAAAGUACAUUCUAUCUUGGAGAACUUCUCCCACCCACUACAUUAAACACUGGUCAGUCUGAGGAGGACAUUCAGUGACAGACUCAUCUGAGGGUUCCACAGCUGCUCCACCAGAUAGAUGUUAAAAGUUAAAGAUCAUAUAAAUAUAGUUAUAGAUUUUCAUGCCACACUUAUAUAUUGUUUAUAUCUCUGGAAAUGAUGUCAAUAAUUUCAAUAAUUAAUGAAUAAAUAACUUUUAUAACUAU